AAUGAACGCUGGCGGCGUGCUUAACACAUGCAAGUCGCACGAGAACGCUUCAGCUUGCUGGAGCUAGUAAAGUGGCGCACGGGUGAGUAACGCGUGGGUAAUCUACCUCCGAGUUGGGGAUAACACUGCGAAAGCGGUGCUAAUACCGAAUGACAUCUCAGGGACCUCGGUCUCUUAGAUCAAAGGUGGCCUCUAACUGUAAGCUACUGUUUGGAGAUGAGCCCGCGUACCAUUAGCUAGUUGGUAGGGUACUGGCCUACCAAGGCUGCGAUGGUUAGCUGGUCUGAGAGGAUGAUCAGCCACACUGGAACUGACACACGGUCCAGACUCCUACGGGAGGCAGCAGUGAGGAAUUUUGCGCAAUGGGGGAAACCCUGACGCAGCAACGCCGCGUGAGUGAUGAAGGCUUUCGGGUCGUAAAGCUCUGUCAAGUGGGAAGAAUAUGCCCCGUGAUAAUACCAUGGGGCACUGACGGUACCACUGAAGGAAGCACCGGCUAACUCCGUGCCAGCAGCCGC
rnacentral:rRNA from 1 species